rnacentral:rRNA from 1 species
ACGGGUGAGUAACACGUGGGCAACCUGCCCUUGAGACUGGGAUAACUUCGGGAAACCGGAGCUAAUACCGGAUAAUAUAAGGAACCUCCUGGUUCCUUGUUGAAAGAUGGUUUCGGCUAUCACUUAAGGAUGGGCCCGCGGCGCAUUAGCUAGUUGGUGAGGUAACGGCUCACCAAGGCGACGAUGCGUAGCCGACCUGAGAGGGUGAUCGGCCACACUGGGACUGAGACACGGCCCAGACUCCUACGGGAGGCAGCAGUAGGGAAUCUUCCACAAUGGACGAAAGUCUGAUGGAGCAACGCCGCGUGAGUGAUGAAGGCCUUCGGGUCGUAAAGCUCUGUUGUUAGGGAAGAACAAGUGCGAGAGUAACUGCUCGUACCUUGACGGUACCUAACCAGAAAGCCACGGCUAACUACGUGCCAGCAGCCGCGGUAAUACGUAGGUGGCAAGCGUUAUCCGGAAUUAUUGGGCGUAAAGCGCGCGCAGGUGGUUUCUUAAGUCUGAUGUGAAAGUCCACGGCUCAACCGUGGAGGGUCAUUGGAAACUGGGGAACUUGAGUGCAGAAGAGGAAAGUGGAAUUCCAAGUG